GGUAACUUGUUACUGGAAGCAAGGCCAGGCAGCGUUCCUUGGAUCACAUUUUGGGCAGUGCCCCUCUGGGUGACUGCCCGGCCCCUCAGUGGCUCUGGGCAGGGCCAGACAAGCUGUCCUCCCUCGCAGGCCUUGCCACUCCCUACAGACUCCCUCCUGCCGGAGCUCUUUUCCGGCCUGCCUUCCCAGGACAGCUCUCCCUGGUGCUGUUCAACAAGGAAGGAAAGCCCUUCUGAUCAAGCUGAGCCCUCCAGGGUGGAACCCUUCUGCUGCCAGCAGGUGAAUUCUCUCCUGGAAGUGUUCUUCCAGUCUCUUCAGAGUGAGCCACCACACCAAGGACAGCCCCUUGUGCUGGUUAAUUGCGUUGUGACAAGCUUGUAUUUUGAUGACGUUAUCAAGCUAAGGGGCUGUAAUUCUGAUGAACCCAUUUGUCUCGCUGUAAUUCCAGCAAGUCCAGUGGAAUAAAUGAUUAAUUGCCUCCAUCUGACCUCAGAAUUAGGUCUGCAAUAGUUACAAUGUGCUUUGGGUUGUACAGAAAUAUUUGUGUUGAAAGUAACAUCCAGGUAAAUGUAAUAAAACUUUAAAGAGGAGUUAAAUCUGACUGUG
rnacentral:lncRNA from 1 species